rnacentral:rRNA from 1 species
UACGUAGGGGGCAAGCGUUGUCCGGAAUCAUUGGGCGUAAAGCGCGCGUAGGCGGCCCUGUAAGUCCGUUGUGAAAGUCAAAGGCUCAACCUUUGAAAGCCGAUGGAUACUGCAGGGCUAGAGUCCGGAAGAGGCGAGUGGAAUUCCUGGUGUAGCGGUGGAAUGCGCAGAUAUCAGGAGGAACACCAAUGGCGAAGGCAGCUCGCUGGAACGGUACUGACGCUGGAGGCGCGAAAGCGUGGGGAGCGAACAGG